AGUGAACGCUGGCGGUAGGCCUAACACAUGCAAGUCGAACGGCAGCACAGUAAGAGCUUGCUCUUACGGGUGGCGAGUGGCGGACGGGUGAGGAAUACAUCGGAAUCUACUUUUUCGUGGGGGAUAACGUAGGGAAACUUACGCUAAUACCGCAUACGACCUACGGGUGAAAGCAGGGGAUCUUCGGACCUUGCGCGAUUGAAUGAGCCGAUGUCGGCUUAGCUAGUUGGCGGGGUAAAGGCCCACCAAGGCGACGAUCCGUAGCUGGUCUGAGAGGAUGAUCAGCCACACUGGAACUGAGACACGGUCCAGACUCCUACGGGAGGCAGCAGUGGGGAAUAUUGGACAAUGGGCGCAAGCCUGAUCCAGCCAUGCCGCGUGGGUGAAGAAGGCCUUCGGGUUGUAAAGCCCUUUUGUUGGGAAAGAAAAGCAGCAGGUUAAUACCCCGCUGUUCUGACGGUACCCAAAGAAUAAGCACCGGCUAACUUCGUG
rnacentral:rRNA from 1 species